ACUGUGAGCCAAACUCAGCUGCUGUUCAUUUGGUGCUGCUUUCCUUUAUGCUUUAGGUGCUAAAUGUUAAAGUAGGCUGUCCAGUAGAACUCGGCUUCCUCUGCAGUCCCAGGAAUAAACGUGUGGCCCAGCUAAAAGUUUACCUCAAAGGUUUUGAUGUGAAAGUGUAUUUAAGAAGAGACUGGAAACAAUUUCCAGAAGUGAAGAAGCUGAUUUACAUUCACAGAUACUCUUCCUUCAGAAAGGAAGUUUACCUGGGGUAACUGCUGGGUGGGAGUGUCCUUUGAAAUGAUGUUGAUUGUACCUUGGUUCAAAGAGCUCUUUGAAAUUCCUGUAAUGCAAUUAUGCUAAGUCAGAGGAAGUUAAAGGAUUGUGUAUUGGCAAAAAUGCAGUUAGAAUCCGAGUUGAAGUCAUGUGUCAAAAGUGCUAUUGAUGAUAACAUUGACACCUGCCUGUGAUAACUUCAAAGUCUGUUCUCUCAGUAUGUAAGUUCACUGAGCUCAGCUGGCACAGGGACAAACCAAGACAAAGACACUGGUCCAGACCUUCAAGAAGUGCAAAUGGAACUGUGCCACUUCACAACAGCACAUCAAACCUGAGCUCUCUGCCUUUUAACAUAGAGAAUACAAUGACUGCUCCCCACCAAAUGAAGCCCAGCAUUUGUGCACCUACAGCUGUUAGUCACAGACAGAAAGGGAUCUCUGUGACUAUCUGCUUUCACCAUGCUGGUGGAAAAAAUAAAAGUGCUCUGUGUGAG
ensembl:lncRNA